AAUGGGAUAGCUGGGUCAAAUGGUGGUUCCAUUGCAAGUUUUCUGAGGAACCUCUAUACUGCUUUCCAGAAUGGUUGCACCAAUUUGCAGUCCUACCAGCAAU
rnacentral:pre_miRNA from 1 species